ACAAACUUGUCAGUCACACCCGCGCCCGCGCAAUACCGAGCUUCCCCUCUGCCGCGCCGCCGCGCCGCUUCUUCUGCGGUCGCCGCCAUGACCAGGAAGCACGCGAGCCCCGGCGUCCUCCGCGCCCUCGUCGCGGUCGCCGCCUCCAUCGCCUCCGCAGAACCUUCCCGGAAAGUCCCGAGGCGCGCCGCUCCCUUCCUCGCCGUCGUCUUCCGCCGCGGCCGCGCCGAGGCCGCGGCGCGCCUCAACCACCUCCUCCGCCUGCUGCCCCUCCCAGACUCCCCGGCGCUCCUCUCGGCGCUGCCCUCCGUCCGCGACGCCGUCUCCUACAACACGGUCCUCGCCGCGCUCUGCCGGCAGGGCUGCCUCGACGCCGCGCUCUUCCUCCUCCGCGCCAUGGCGCACGAGCCGCGCCUCGCGUCCCGCCCCAACGCCGUCUCCUACACCACCCUCAUGCGCGCGCUCUGCGCCGACCGCCGCAGCCCCGCGGCCGUCGGGCUGCUCCGGUCCAUGCAGGCCCGCGGCGUCCGCGCCGACGUGGUCACCUACGGCACGCUCAUCCGCGGCCUCUGCGACGCCGCGGACGUCGACAAAGCCGUCGAGCUGCUGAACGAGAUGCGCGAGAACGGCAUCCAGCCCAACGUGGUCGUCUACAGCUGCUUGCUCCAGGGCUACUGCAAGGCUGGGAGGUGGGAGAGCGUGGGCAAGGUGUUCGAGGAAAUGUCCGACAGGGGCAUUGAGCCGGAUGUUGUGAUGUACACUGCUCUGAUCGACAGCCUGUGCAGGAACGGGAAGGUGAGCAAGGCAACGCGUGUGAUGGACAUGAUGGUGGAGCGGGGUCUGGAGCCAAACGUGGUGACCUACAACGUGCUCGUCAACUCCAUGUGCAAGGACGGGGCUGUGAGGGAGGCGCUCGAUCUGCGGAGGAACAUGCUGGAGAAGGGGGUGCAGCCAGAUACCGUGACGUAUAACACACUUAUCGCAGGGCUAUCUGGCGUGCUCGAGAUGGACGAGGCGAUGGGGCUGCUAGAGGAGAUGAUUCAGGGUGAAACUCUGGUUAAGCCUGAUGUGAUGACGUUCAACUCGGUUAUACAUGGACUUUGCAAGACCGGUAGGAUGUCGCAGGCUGUCCGAGUUCGUUCCAUGAUGGCUGAGAACGGGUGCAUGUGUAACUUGGUGACGUUUAAUCUGCUGAUUGGGGGAUUCCUUAGAGUCCACAAGAUAAACAAGGCUAUGCAGAUGAUGAAUGAGAUGGCUAGUUCUGGAUUGAAGCCUGAUUCAUUCACCUACGGCAUACUGAUAAAUGGCUUCUGCAAAAUGUGGCAUGUUGACCGUGUGGAAAGUCUCUUGUCCGAGAUGAGAUCUCGCGGGAUAGAGCCUGAGCUAGUUCACUACAUUCCUUAUCUUAAAGCUGUGUGUGAUCAAGGCAUGAUGGCGCGGGCUAGGGUUUUGUUCGAUGAAAUUGAUAUGAAAUUCAAACUAGAUGUUGUUGCAUAUAGCACUAUGAUCCACGGCGCUUGCAAAUUAGGGGACAAGAAAACUGCAGAAGAGUUUCUUAAAUAUAUGCUUGACGAGGGGUUGACUCCUGAUGCUGUCACAUAUUCUAUUCUAAUCAACAUGUUUGCAAAAUCUGGAGACUUAGAAGCAGCAAAGGGGGUGCUUAACCAGAUGACUGCUAGUGGCUUUGUGCCUGAUGUUGCUGUAUUUGAUUCACUGAUCCAAGGUUACGGAGCUAAAGGGGAAACAGAGAAGGUACUCGAGUUAGUUCGUGAAAUGUUGGCCAAGGAUAUAGCACUUGAUGCAAAAAUUGUUUCAACUAUCCUCUCUUCUCUGGGAGCAAGCAACGAAGGCCAAGCAUUGUUGCAAAGAUUGCCUGGCUUUGAUACAGAAAUAGCAAAAGGCGACGUUAUUCCGCCCCGUGAUGUAAUGAAUAUGCUACAUAAACUUGGCACAGAACUUGACCCUCCCGCUGGUUGCUGAUCUCUCAACCCAAUUCAGGUGCUUGUGCGUUUGUUGCCUUCAUGUUUGAAAUCUAAUUGCAGGCUGUAACAUCAAAAGCAGAGCUGACAGCAAUGCCGUGUGAGCAUAAAAGCACCUACUCAAAGUAUCAAAUCUGGCGCACACUUAUUAGUGAUUGUUGGUUAAAUAGUGUCUUCAAAUUUCACAUGGUAUUCAGUAUCCUCAAAAAAGUUGUGGAUACUCAAUUCGUAGUUCACAAGGGUGACCAUGGUUCAUAGGGCUGACCAUGUUUUAUAAGGCCAACAACCAAGUCUUCUAGUGCUAUUCACAGGAUUCACAACCGACUAAAAUCGCUUGACCCAAACUGCAAAUCUGCUCAAUUUAUCAGGUUCGGUGUGGGUUUGAACCAAACCUAUCUACACUGGUAUCCUACCAGGUGGUAUGGUCACCAGACCCUUUCGGCCUGAGUUGUGACGGAGUUGUCGAUGGCACCGUCACGCAUCAAGCCCUGAGCCCCUGAACUUGCUGGCUGUGUUACAUGUCGCUUCCUUCCAGCAACAGUUUUGCAAUGCUGCAAACAGAUUAAGGCAAGGUGAUUGGGAUUAGAUAUUGACAUGACGCCAACUAUUUGGUGCAUGCCAGGUGCAUCACAAUACACUGUCAUAGUGUCAUGGUAGUGGAUAAGUAGCAAGAGAACCCAUACAAACUUGGUUCGACGUGUCAGAUCAGUUUUGGUGCUACUGUAGAAUGAGGUGUUGGAAGACACGCCUUCUGAUUGCCAUGAGGAAAAGAAUGGUUCAGACUUUCGGCUGUCAGCGGUCUUA